UACGUAGGGUGCGAGCGUUAAUCGGAAUUACUGGGCGUAAAGCGUGCGCAGGCGGUUUUGCAAGCCGGAUGGGAAAUCCCCGGGCUUAACCUGGGAAUGGCAUUUGGGACUGCAAGGCUGGAGUGCGGCAGAGGAGACUGGAAUUCCUGGUGUAGCGGUGAAAUGCGUAGAUAUCUGGAGGAACACCGGUGGCGAAGGCGGCAUCCUGGACCAACACUGACACUGAGGAGCGAAAGCCAGGGGAGCAAACGGG
rnacentral:rRNA from 1 species